rnacentral:ncRNA from 1 species
CUGCGUAAAACAAAGCUUUGCGAUGGCCGCUGGUCGGUGUUGACGCAAUGUGAUUUCUGCCCAGUGCUCUUAAUGUCAACCUGAAGAGAUUCAUCAAAGCGCGGGUAAACGGCGGGAGUAACUAUGGACUCUCGGGAUGGGAGUAUCUUGUGUGAUUGGCUGAGUUUUGCUCAGACUAAUAGUUUCUGGGGGGUCGGUGAGUGUUUCUAAAAUCCAGGAAGGAAAAUUUUCAAGAGUCCCGGGAAACACUCUGACCCCUCACGGUUCGUGCGCCUCCUCGCGGCGCCCGCUGGAAACGUGUCGGCUUGGAACCGGCUAAGUCAUGAACCGAAUCGAUCGUAAUGGAUCGCCAGUUGGUGAAAGCGAAAGCGCUAGCUGUGUCAACCCUGCUACCGCUGUGGCGGGGGGUCUGACUGUACAAUGCCGCG